UAGGUUAACGAGGCGAACCGGGGGAACUGAAACAUCUAAGUACCCCGAGGAAAAGAAAUCAACCGAGAUUCCCCCAGUAGCGGCGAGCGAACGGGGAGCAGCCCAGAGUCUGAAUCAGCUUGUGUGUUAGUGGAACGGUCUGGAAAGUCCGACGGUACAGGGUGAUAGUCCCGUACACCAAAAUGCACAGGCUGUGAACUCGAAGAGUAGGGCGGGACACGUGGUAUCCUGUCUGAAUAUGGGGGGACCAUCCUCCAAGGCUAAAUACUCCUGACUGACCGAUAGUGAACCAGUACCGUGAGGGAAAGGCGAAAAGAACCCCGGCGAGGGGAGUGAAAAAGAACCUGAAACCGUGUACGUACAAGCAGUGGGAGCACCUUCGGGUGUGACUGCGUACCUUUUGUAUAAUGGGUCAGCGACUUAUAUUCUGUAGCAAGGUUAACCGUAUAGGGGAGCCGCAGGGAAACCGAGUCUUAACUGGGCGUUAAGUUGCAGGGUAUAGACCCGAAACCCGGUGAUCUAGCCAUGGGCAGGUUGAAGGUUGGGUAACACUAACUGGAGGACCGAACCGACUAAUGUUGAAAAAUUAGCGGAUGACUUGUGGCUGGGGGUGAAAGGCCAAUCAAACCGGGAGAUAGCUGGUUCUCCCCGAAAGCUAUUUAGGUAGCGCCUCGUGAAUUCAUCUUCGGGGGU
rnacentral:rRNA from 1 species